rnacentral:misc_RNA from 1 species
GAAAUUUCCAAUUAAAAAAGUUUUGUUUUAUAAAUUUAAACUAAUUUGGGGAAAACAACUCAAAAGAGAUUUCAUUGGAAAUAAAAGUUCAAUUCUGUAUAUUUUUCCUUUAAAAAAGAAAGGUAAACUUAUUGGUACAUUUCCCAAUUAUUUAACUUGUUCAAUGAAAUGCAAACUGACAAAUACAGAAAGGGAAUUACUCAUCACAAAAAUUGACUGAUUAGUUCCCUUUCCAAUCUUAAAUUCAAGUAUUAUUCAUUUAUAUAUGAAUACAUGUCAGCUUGUUCUGACCUAUAAGAUUUACCAUCCACCAUAUGGAUAUGAAAAGAUAAGAUGAUAUUGACCUCAAAAUUACAGCACAAUCAUAAUAAAGUAGAAAGCUUUUAUGGCUCAAUUGAAUAAACAUAUAUAAGCUGCACACAAGUGCAUACACACAGAAGAGAGAAAUUUAAGUUCCAGAAGUUUAAUAUGUCUGACAUAGUUAAUCAAUUAAGAAGAAUCUAAAUUAAGAAUCAAUUAAUAUGCCUAAUAUGUCUGACAUAGUUAAUCCUUUGAACUAUACAUAUGAUCUAUAUUUUUACUAUAACAAAGGCAUGUACUUCUACAAGGCAUUGCAAACAAAUGAAGCCUGAUAGGAGAUGGAAUAAUUGUCAUAUAGAGACAGAAAGAAGGCAAACCUGUUCAUAGCCUCCCAGUUUG